rnacentral:rRNA from 1 species
CACUCCUGCGGGAGGCAGCAGUGGGGAAUAUUGGACAAUGGGCGCAAGCCUGAUCCAGCCAUGCCGCGUGAGUGAUGAAGGCCCUAGGGUUGUAAAGCUCUUUCACCGGUGAAGAUAAUGACGGUAACCGGAGAAGAAGCCCCGGCUAACUUCGUGCCAGCAGCCGCGGUAAUACGAAGGGGGCUAGCGUUGUUCGGAUUUACUGGGCGUAAAGCGCACGUAGGCGGACUAUUAAGUCAGGGGUGAAAUCCCGGGGCUCAACCCCGGAACUGCCUUUGAUACUGGUAGUCUUGAGUUCGAGAGAGGUGAGUGGAAUUCCGAGUGUAGAGGUGAAAUUCGUAGAUAUUCGGAGGAACACCAGUGGCGAAGGCGGCUCACUGGCUCGAUGCUGACGCUGAGGUGCGAAAGCGUGGGGAGCAAACAGGAUUAGAUACCCCUGUAGUCCCA